AACGUAGGAGACAAACGUUAUCCGGAGUUACUGGGCGUAAAGGGCGUGUAGGUGGUUUCGUAAGUCUGGCGUGAAAUUUUUCGGCUUAACCGGGAAAGGUCGUCGGAUACUGCGGAGCUAGAGGACGGUAGAGGCGUGUGGAAUUCCGGGUGUAGUGGUGAAAUGCGUAGAGAUCCGGAGGAACACCAGUGGCGAAGGCGGAACUCUGGGCCGGAACUGACGCUGAGGAGCGAAAGCGUGGGGAGCGAACAGG
rnacentral:rRNA from 1 species